CAAAGAGAGAGAAGAGAGAGUAGAAAAAGGAAAGCUAUGGAAGACACUAACUCCAUCGCCAACAAUGUCGCCCAAGCUAUUGCCACUGCCCUUGAUUGGUCCUCCACUCCCGACGCUCGCAAAGCCGCCGUCUCUUUUCUCGAUUCUAUCAAGGCUGGUGAUAUUCGGAUAUUGGCAAACACGUCGUUCCUUUUGGUAAAAAGGAACUGGUCCUCUGAAAUCCGUUUACACGCUUUUAAAAUGCUGCAGCAUUUGGUGCGAUUAAGGUGGGACGAACUAAGCUCCGCAGAGCACAAGAACUUUGCAAAUCUCUCCAUUGAUUUAAUGUCUGAGACUGCUGAUCCCUGUGAAGAUUGGGCUCUUAAAAGCCAGACGGCUGCCCUCGUUGCUGAGAUAAUUAGAAGAGAGGGGCUUAAUCUAUGGAAGGAAAUGUUUCCAUCAUUGGUUUCUCUAUCCAGCAAGGGUCCAAUACAAGCUGAAUUAGUUUCAAUGAUUCUUCGUUGGCUUCCUGAAGAUAUUACAGUUCAUAAUGAAGACUUAGAAGGUGAUCGCCGAAGGCUACUCUUGCGUGGGCUAACUGAAUCACUGCCUGAAAUUUUGCCUCUCCUAUACACUUUACUGGAAACACACUUUGCAGCUGCACUAAAUGAAGCUGGUAGAAACCAGAUGGAAAUUGCCAAACUGCAUGCUGCUACUGUAACAGCUACACUAAAUGCAAUAAAUGCAUAUGCUGAGUGGGCUCCAUUGUCCGAUCUUGCCGAUGCUGGCAUCAUUAAUGGAUGUGGUUUCCUACUAUCUGCUCCUGAUUUUCGACUUCAUGCUUGUGAGUUUUUCAAACUUGUCUCCCCAAGGAAGAGGCCCAUCGAUGCUUCUGCUUCUAAAUUUGACCAAGCUAUAAUUACUAUCUUUCAAAUCUUGAUGAACAUAUCUAGAGAGUUUUUGUACAGAUCUGGCUCAAAUCCAGGAUCUAUAGAUGAGGGUGAAUAUGAAUUCGUGGAAUUUAUAUGUGAAAAUAUGGUGUCACUAGGCGCUUCUAACUUGCAAAGUAUUGCUGGAGAUAGCAGCAUACUUCCUUUCUAUCUUGAACAGAUGCUGGGGUUUUUCCGACAUUUCAAGUUUGCCAUUCAUUUCCAAUCCGUGCACUUCUGGCUGGUGCUAAUGAGGGAUUUAAUGUCAAAACCAAAAAGUUCCUCGCAUUCAGCCGUUAGUAGUUCAGGUUCUGGAGAUGCUGAAAAUGUAAAGAAAAAGAUUCUAAGCUUUGUGAAUGAUGAUUUCUGUGGUGCAAUUUUGGAAACAUCUUUCCCUCACAUGCUCAAGAGAGAGAAAAUCCUACCCGAUACUGCACUGUCUUUAGGGGUGUUGGAGUUGUGGAGUGAUGACUUUGAGGGGAAGGGUGAAUUCAGCCAAUAUCGCUCUAGGCUGUUGGAGUUGAUUAGGUUCGUUUCCUCUUGCAAACCCUUGGUGGCAGCUGCUAAAGUUUCCGAAAAAAUUGAUGCAAUCAUCAAGAGUCUCUUGGUUUCACCAACUCAAACUCAGGACUUAGCAUUGAUGGAAAGCAUGCAGUUGAUUUUAGAGAAUAUUGUGAGUACAGUUUUUGAUGAAUCCAAUGAUUUUGCCAAGGCAAAUGCUGAAAUGCAGUUUGCAUUACGAAGAACAUUUGACGGUUUACUUCAGCAAUUUCUUUCAUUGAAAUGGACGGAACCCGCACUUGUGGAAGUACUUGGUCACUAUUUGGAUGCAAUGGGCCCUUUCUUGAAGUAUUCCUCAGAUGCAGUUGGCAGUGUUAUCAAUAAACUUUUUGAACUCCUCACAUCCCUUCCCAUUGCAGUCAAGGAUACUUCGACUUCUAGUGCACGGCGUGCAAGGUUGCAGAUUUGUACAUCAUUUAUUCGGAUAGCCAAAACAGCUGAUAAAAGUAUCCUGCCUCAUAUGAAGGGCAUUGCCAAUACCAUUGGAUGUUUGCAAAGGGAAGGUUGUUUGCUUCGAGGAGAGCAUAAUCUUCUAGGUGAAGCUUUUCUUGUGAUGGCUUCUGUUGCUGGGAUUCAACAGCAGCAAGAAGUUUUAGCAUGGUUAUUGGAACCUUUGAGCCAAGAGUGGACACAUUCGGAAUGGCAGGAUAAGUAUUUAUCUGAACCAUAUGGCCUGGUUUACUUGUUCUCAGAAGCACAAGUUAUGUGGUCAAGUUUUCACAGUGUGACAUUCUUUGAGAAGGCACUUAAGAGGAGUGGAAUCAAGAAAGCUAAUUGGAAUCCUGAAAACAGCUCAACACCGGAUUCAACUCCUAUAAAUCCAAUAUCCCCCCAUGUGUCAUGGAUGCUGACUCCUCUGUUGAAACUACUUCGCACUAUACAUUCCCUUUGGUCUCCAUCUGUACGUCAAACUUUACCUGGAGAGAUCCAAGCUGCAAUGAUCAUGAGUGAUGUUGAAAGGUUCACUCUUCUUGGAGAAGGGAACCCCAAGGUUCCAAAGGGUUCGUUGGCUAAUGUUGACAAGAGUAAGGAAGGAUAUGCUGAACCUAAUGAAUCAGAUAUACGAAAUUGGCUAAAAGGAAUCAGAGACAGCGGAUAUAAUGUAUUGGGUUUGUCCACAACAAUUGGGGAUUCCUUUUUCAAAACUUUGGAUGUGCAUUCUGUUGCGUUUGCACUAAUGGAGAACAUACAGUCGAUGGAGUUCAGGCAUAUAAGGCAGCUUGUUCAUUCCGUUUUGAUACCUUUGGUUAAGCAUUGCCCUUUGAAUAUGUGGGAGACUUGGCUAGAAAAGCUUCUGCACCCAUUAUUUGUCCAUGCUCAGCAGGCGCUCAGCUGUUCAUGGUCAUGUCUUCUACAAGACGGUAGAGCAAAGGUUCCAGAUGUUAUUGAAAUUAUUAGUGGAUCAGACCUAAAAGUGGAGGUGAUGGAGGAAAAGCUUCUGAGAGAUCUCACACGAGAGAUAUGUUCACUUCUCUCUGUAAUUGCUUCUCCUCCCCUUAAUCCUGGAAUCCCUUCUUUGGAACAGUCUGGGCACGUUAGUCGAUUAGACACGUCUUCACUGAAAAGCUUGGACACAUUUGCAUCAAGCUCUAUGGUUGGUUUCCUUCUGAAGCAUGGUUUGGCUCUUCCAACGCUACGCAUGUGUUUAGAGGCUUUUACAUGGACGGAUGGUGAAGCUGUGACAAAGAUUUCUUCUUAUUGCUCUGUGUUGGUAGCUCUUUCGAUUGUAACAAAUCAUUCAGAACUAGUGGAAUUUGUCUCCAGAGAUCUCUUUUCUUCAAUUAUUCAAGGCUUAGCCCUUGAAUCAAAUGCAAUAAUCAGUGCUGAUCUAAUUGGUCUCUGCCGUGAAAUAUUUGUGUAUCUUUGUGAUAGACACCCGGCUCCCCGGCAGGUUUUAAUGUCUCUGCCCUCUAUUACCCCUCACGACUUGCUUGCUUUUGAGGAAUCUCUAACAAAAACAUUGAGUCCAAAGGAGCAAAAGCAGCACAUGAAAAGCUUGCUUAUCUUAGCAAGUGGUAACAAAUUGAAAGCACUUGCAGCUCAGAAAAGCGUGAACAUCAUUACAAACGUUUCAACAAGACCACGCAGCUCAGGCAAUGCUUCUGAAUCCAGAGUUGAUGAUGGAGAACCUUUGGGAUUGGCUGCCAUAAUGUAAAAUAUUCCGAGCUCAAGGAAGGUUUUGUGUACAGGGCAUGAUCGUGAAGAAAUGAAACCCGUCAUUAGGGAGUGUCCUAUUUUCUGAUAUUGGGGAGGGAAACAUAACCAAUAUGAUAAUGCAUAUAAUUUCAUAUAGUUCAACAAUUUACUUUUUGUUUAAAUAAUUCAAAGCCAAUCUUUACGAAAUAUCAAAAAUUGUAAUUAUUAUUGAGUAAUAACCUUCAACUUAAGCAUAUGAUAAACAAGAUGGGGAGGGAGAAGCUAGUUUGAAAGUAAGGUUGAACUUGAGUUGAAUAUUAGGUGCGGGAACAAGAUAAAUAGGUGCUUCGAGGCUAAGCUAACUAAUUUAGUGUUCUAUAAAAAUCCCAAAGGAAUCCUCUCUCACUUGCAAGUUGCAACUCUGCCUCUUGGUUUCAUACAUCUUUUCAUAGAGUUUUCUUCUUUUUGUUGGUGUUGAGAUUUUCAGAGUCUUGAUUCUUGAAGGCUCUCAAAAUCAAAGCCUUGCCCUUUUUCUUAGGUUCAGAGUCUUGCAUUUUAUUUGAUUUAAGAUUCCCGCAUAGAAAUAUGGGGCCAGGCGGUCCAGGCCCAGGAGGCCCAGGUCCUCCUGGUUGGGGUCCACCAGGCCCGCCAGGCUUAGGACUCUUCGGUGGCUUUUGCGAUAUUAUUGGUUCUUGCCUGAGCUGUUUGUGCUGCUGCUGGUUGUUUCAAGAUUGCUUAGGGGGUCCAUUUGGCCCACCUGGGCCUGCUGGGCCUCCCGGCCCUCCAUGAGCUUCCCAGGUUCAAGACGCCGCCGCCUUCUUUUCGUUACCAGAAACGAUCUUGUAUUAGAUUGAGUUUGGUCUCUCUGGGUCUCAACGGAGGAAGAACAAGAAUAAUUAUUAUUUAGCUUGUGUUAUGUUAUGUAAUAACUAAUUUCGGUUCUGCCAUAUUAUACGAAUGCAUAUUCACUUGAUAUUGUAUUAUGUUACAGAGACAUUUGAAUAAAUAAAUAAAUCUGAUUAUAUAUUUA